rnacentral:rRNA from 1 species
UACGUAGGGAGCGAGCGUUGUCCGGAAUUACUGGGUGUAAAGGGAGCGUAGGCGGGACUGCAAGUUGGGUGUCAAAUCUACCGGCUCAACCGGUAGCCGCACUCAAAACUGCAGUUCUUGAGUGAAGUAGAGGCAGGCGGAAUUCCUAGUGUAGCGGUGAAAUGCGUAGAUAUUAGGAGGAACACCAGUGGCGAAGGCGGCCUGCUGGGCUUUUACUGACGCUGAGGCUCGAAAGUGUGGGGAGCAAACAG